GAGACGCCUACUGCUAAUAAAGCAUCCUCAGCCCCGCUUUGAUUUGUACCUGUGCAGUAACAAGUGCCGGCCCAGCCCUGAAGUCACAAAGCAGAUACAGAGAUGACAGAAGAGGGCAAACAGUGACUGCUGCAGUCUUAACACAGUCAUGAAGCCCACGUGGGAAUCUUUCUUCUUACCUGACGGCCAGUGCAAGGUUGACAGCAGUCAGAUUUGCUGUCCCUUAAGUUACAUAAUUUCUCCUUGAAGGACGCAGAGCCAGGUGUUGUAGAGAUGCUGUUUGCUGUAGCCUUUCUAUAAGUAAAGCCACCCAUCCUUUUCUGAUUA